CCUACGGGUGGCUGCAGUGGGGAAUAUUGCACAAUGGGCGCAAGCCUGAUGCAGCCAUGCCGCGUGUGUGAAGAAGGCCUUCGGGUUGUAAAGCACUUUCAGCGGGGAGGAAGGCGGUGAGGUCAAUAACCUCAUCGAUUGACGUUACCCGCAGAAGAAGCACCGGCUAACUCCGUGCCAGCAGCCGCGGUAAUACGGAGGGUGCAAGCGUUAAUCGGAAUUACUGGGCGUAAAGCGCACGCAGGCGGUCUGUCAAGUCGGAUGUGAAAUCCCCGGGCUCAACCUGGGAACUGCAUUCGAAACUGGCAGGCUAGAGUCUUGUAGAGGGGGGUAGAAUUCCAGGUGUAGCGGUGAAAUGCGUAGAGAUCUGGAGGAAUACCGGUGGCGAAGGCGGCCCCCUGGACAAAGACUGACGCUCAGGUGCGAAAGCGUGGGGAGCAAACAGGAUUAGAUACCCCAGUAGUC
rnacentral:rRNA from 1 species